AUGCCUAGCUCGUCGGCCUGUCCUCCGUGGCUGGUGCGCAUGGUGGCGGCAAACGACGACCAGGCAUCGUCGUCCUCCUCGUCCAAGGGCGGGGUUGCCGUGCUCACCACUGGCACGCCCACUAUAGACACGGGAUACCGCGGCGGUGGCGGGGAAGGCGGCAAUGCCGCCGACCCUCAGGAGAGCAGCAGUAGCGGGCAGUCCAGGCUCGCGGCGCGCGGCCACUGGCGUCCUGCCGAGGACAUGAAGCUACGCGAGCUCGUGGCGCUCUAUGGCCCCCAGAACUGGAACCUCAUCGCCGAGAAGCUCGACGGGAGAUCCGGGAAGAGCUGUCGGCUGCGAUGGUUCAACCAGCUUGACCCGCGGAUCAGCAAGCGCCCGUUCUCCGACGAAGAGGAGGAGAAGCUGACGGCGGCGCACCGCUUCUACGGCAACAAGUGGUCCAUGAUCGCGCGGCUCUUCCCCGGCCGGACCGACAACGCCGUCAAGAACCACUGGCAUGUCAUCAUGGCGCGCAAGUACCGCGAGCAGUCCAUCGCCUACCGCCGCCGCAAGCUCAACCAGGCUGUCCAGCGCAAGCUUGACUCGUCCUCCGGGGUGGCUGCCGGUGCCGGGCACGCCGACGUCGUUGGUCACCACCACAACCACCUCCUGUUGGCCGCCAACGACUCCGCCAUCUUUGCGGAUCCCUACGGCUUCAGCUUCAGCCACUGCUGCCUCUCUUUCCCUGCCGGCGCCGCCGCUGCCUCGGCGUUGGAGCCUACCUUCUGCUUGUUCCCCGGGCCCGGCGCCGCGUCCAACUCGGUGCACGACGGGCGCCUCUCGUGGCCGGACGCCAUGGCCGUGCGAGGAGGAGCAGGAGGUGGCGGCCUUCACUGGGAGCCGCUGCCGGCGCAAGGAGGCUGGAUCGGCGGCGGCCGCCACGAGAUGGCACGGUUCGACUCCGACCAGGCAAAUGGAGCGUCUGCCGCCGUGUUUGCCGUGACAGAUCAAGCUGGCGUUCACUUGGACGGCGCGUCGCGGUCGCCGACUUUCAUAGAUUUCCUCGGGGUCGGAGCGACAUGA
rnacentral:rRNA from 1 species